CUCGUAGGCGGUUCAACAAGUCGGUCGUGAAAGCCCGGGGCUCAACCCCGGGAUGCCGGUCGAAACUGUUGUGACUUGAGUUCGGUAGAGGUGAGUGGAAUUCUCGGUGUAGCGGUGGAAUGCGCAGAUAUCGAGAGGAACACCCGUAGCGAAGGCGGCUCACUGGGCCGAUACUGACGCUGAGGAGCGAAAGCAUGGGGAGCAAACAGGAUUAGAUACCCUGGUAGUCC
rnacentral:rRNA from 1 species